rnacentral:lncRNA from 1 species
UCCUCUUCUUACUUGAACUAGCAUCAUACUGAUCUUUGUCACCUCCAUCAACAAUUUCAGAUUGCUUCGAUUUUGCACUAAUUUCACCCAAUCUGAUUGGGUCAUUCUUAAAUUUGAAUCUGAUGUCUUUAAUUUCUUUGAAUUUGGCUAUUGAACCUGCGACCUCUCCAAAAUCCUAAGUUAGACCCAAGAAAAAUGUUCAUCCAUUGUAUAUGUGAAAAAUCUGUGUGGAUUAUGAUUUCAUAUGAAA